rnacentral:rRNA from 1 species
GACAGAGGAUGCAAGCGUUAUCCGGAAUUAUUGGGCGUAAAGAGCUCGUAGGCGGUGUGUCGCGUCGGCCGUGAAAACCUGGGGCUCAACUCUGGGCGUGCGGUCGAUACGGGCAUCACUUGAGUUCGGGCAGGGGAGACUGGAAUUCCUGGUGUAGCGGUGAAAUGCGCAGAUAUCAGGAGGAACACCGGUGGCGAAGGCGGGUCUCUGGGCCGGAUACUGACGCUGAGGAGCGAAAGCAUGGGGUAGCGAACAGG